rnacentral:rRNA from 2 species
GGGUUGUGAGGUUAAGCGACUAAGCGUACACGGUGGAUGCCCUGGCAGUCAGAGGCGAUGAAGGGCGUGCUAAUCUGCGAUAAGCGCCGGUAAGGUGAUAUGAACCGUUAUAACCGGCGAUACCCGAAUGGGGAAACCCAGUGUGACUCGUCACACUAUCAUUAACUGAAUCCAUAGGUUAAUGAGGCGAACCGGGGGAACUGAAACAUCUAAGUACCCCGAGGAAAAGAAAUC